rnacentral:rRNA from 1 species
CUCGUAGGCGGUUCGUCGCGUCCGGUGCGAAAGUCCAUCGCUUAACGGUGGAUCCGCGCCGGGUACGGGCGGGCUUGAGUGCGGUAGGGGAGACUGGAAUUCCCGGUGUAACGGUGGAAUGUGUAGAUAUCGGGAAGAACACCAAUGGCGAAGGCAGGUCUCUGGGCCGUUACUGACGCUGAGGAGCGAAAGCGUGGGGAGCGAACA